GACGAACGCUGGCGGCGUGCCUAAUACAUGCAAGUUGAGCGAUGAAGAUUGGUGCUUGCACCAAUUUGAAGAGCAGCGAACGGGUGAGUAACGCGUGGGGAAUCUGCCUUUGAGCGGGGGACAACAUUUGGAAACGAAUGCUAAUACCGCAUAACAACUUUUAACAUAAGUUUUAAGUUUGAAAGAUGCAAUUGCAUCACUCAAAGAUGAUCCCGCGUUGUAUUAGCUAGUUGGUGAGGUAAAGGCUCACCAAGGCGAUGAUACAUAGCCGACCUGAGAGGGUGAUCGGCCACAUUGGGACGGAGACACGGCCCAAACUCCUACGGGAGGCAGCAGUAGGGAAUCUUCGGCAAUGGACGAAAGGCUGACCGAGCCACGCCGCGUGAGUGAAGAAGGUUUUCGGAUCGUGAAACUCGGUUGGUAGAGAAGAACGUUGGUGAGAGUGGAAAGCUCAUCAAGUGACGGUAACUACACAGAAAGGGACGGCUAACUACGUG
rnacentral:rRNA from 1 species